rnacentral:rRNA from 1 species
GUGGGGAAUAUUGGACAAUGGGCGCAAGCCUGAUCCAGCCAUGCCGCGUGUGUGAAGAAGGCCUUCGGGUUGUAAAGCACUUUCAGUAGGGAGGAAGCGUUGAGUGUUAAUAGUACUCAACGUUGACGUUACCUACAGAAGAAGCACCGGCUAACUCUGUGCCAGCAGCCGCGGUAAUACAGAGGGUGCAAGCGUUAAUCGGAAUUACUGGGCGUAAAGCGCACGUAGGCGGUUUUUUAAGUCAGAUGUGAAAGCCCCGGGCUCAACCUGGGAAUUGCAUUUGAAACUGGAAAACUAGAGUGUGUGAGAGGGGGGUAGAAUUCCAAGUGUAGCGGUGAAAUGCGUAGAGAUUUGGAGGAAUACCAGUGGCGAAGGCGGCCCCCUGGCACAACACUGACGCUCAGGUGCGAAAGCGUGGGGAGCAAACAGGAUUAGAAACCCUGGUAGUCC